UCACCGCAGGCCUUCGUGGACGCGUACACCGGCUAUGAGGUUAGGGUUAUUGAAUCGCGUCUCGUGCUCUUCCCCCCCCCUCCCCCCCCCCUCUCCCAUUUCCUGUGUUGUCUUCGGGAACACACCCCGCAUCGAGGUUUUUUUUUUCUGGUGAUCUUUGCGUUAACGAGUUGGUGGGAACUGGUGGGGUUUUUCUCGUUGCGAUGCGAGGCUUGUUGAGUUUUCCCAACGCGCGGCUCGGCUGCUCUUGCGGUGAAAUUUUGGUUGGGAGUAGUCCUGCGGGGAGCAGCGGGGAUGGGUUUUUUGGGGUUUAUUGGGUAGUUUCUUUGAAUUGAUCGGUUGUUGUUUACCGUGUGUUUCUUGUCUUCUGGUUCUUGGAUUCUAAUCUGUUUGUCGGAUUAGUUUCGUGGGGUUUUGUACCAUUUGUUCUUGGAUUUUUUUCCCCCUCUCUCAGCUCUGCCUCUGCUGCUUCGGCUUCACCAUACCGCUCCUUGUGCAUUGGAUUGUUUCUUGAAGGUUUUAAUCGAGUUUCAAGGUAGUUCUUGGUCUCUAUCUAGUUUGAUUGUCUUGACAUAGGCAAGAAUUAGGGCAUUUCUUUCUUUAACCUUUGAGUUUGACGAAUUGCAUCUCCCCACUCUUGCUUGCAUGAUUCUGGACUUGAUACUUCAGACAGGUGGAAUUAAUGUCAGAAAAUAAUACGAUCUGCUUCUGCUGCUUGCGUGUUGGUUUCUGGUCGAUUUCUCUAUGUUUUCAGCGACCCAAAUAGAUAACUCAGUGUCCUAAUUUAGACUUCUGAUAGCUUUGCUGCCUGUGAGUUUUGAUCUUGUUACUUGUAUAUACUAUUGUGACCGUAAUAUUGGAUUCUAUUGUGAUCGUAAUGUUGCCUAGUACUGUGAAAAUGUUUGAAAGUACUACCUCAGGAUUUAGAUCACGUGGUUUUAUUACUGAGGAUCACAUGGUUUUAUUGAAUUACAGGAUCAGGGAGCAUGGGACCCCGAUUCCUUGUCUCUAGAGUUGGGACUUGCAACGUUACGAGAGUUGGAAUGUAUCAGAUAUCAGGUGUGAACAUCAUCAACACAGCACAAGACUGUAAAUUCACUAGCAGACUAACUAGAUUUACCCAAACAUCAAUUUUGAAGCUAAUUUUUGCAUUUUGUCCGUUCGUCUGCGGAGCAUAAGCUGACCAUCCCAUUGCUGUGAAUUUUCUUUAGGAAGCACAAGAAGACUGGAGAAAGAGUGAUGAUAACAAGUCUGAUUCCUGCAAGCAAAAAGAUAAGGUGUGAAAGUUCUCUUUCUAUUUCAUCGAACUUGCUUUGCAUGGCUACAUGGACCUGAGCUUGACUAAUUGCAUCUUUUUCCCCCUCUUGCUUCUGGACUUGGUACUUCAGAUAAGUAAGAAAAAGAUAAUGUAAAAAAGUGAUCAUCUGUUACCGCUACUCGCGUGUUGGUUUCUGGUCGAUUUCUCUAUGUUUUCAGCAACCCAAACAGACAACUUAGCGUCCUAAUCUAGACUUCUGAUAGCUUUGCUGCCUGCGAGUUUUGAUCUUGUUACCUGUAUAUACUAUUGUGACCGUAAUAUUGGAUUCUAUUGUGAUCGUAAUGUUGCCUAGUACUGUGAAAAUGUUUGAAAGUACUACCUCAGGAUUUAGAUCAUGUGGUUUUAUUACUGAGGAUCACAUGGUUUUAUUGAAUUACAGGAUCAGGGAGCAUGGGACCCCGAUUCCUUGUCUCUAG
rnacentral:lncRNA from 1 species